CAUUGAGGGCAGCACGCGAGUCACGCAUGCAUCAGCCAAUCGAAGGAGGAGCUGCACACCGACAGCCCCCGCCCACAGUUGGAUGACUUCAUUGUAUCAGAAGCACUUCAUUCAAGGUGGGUGUUCUCAUUGAACUACUUGGCAAUAAACCGUUGCAUUCAUCAAGCUUGCCAAAGUUAACUUGCCACUAGUGUGUUAAACUGACUUUAAUCAGUUUCCUAUACUAUGGUGAUAUCACUAAAGUGUUUGGUGUGACCCAAGGAGAAUUAAUGAAGAACAGGUGUGACCACACGCCAGGAAUGGCAUUGCUCAUUGCGUGGCCAAAAAUUAUGUCCACGUGUCUGGCAGCACUUGCUCACGUUAUCUAAUGUAAUCGUUUCUUUCCAUCUUAACCAUCGAGCAAAACCGUCUCUAAAUAUAUCCUGAUGUAGUCUAGUUAAAAUAAUGCUUCCUCAAAAUAGAGCCCAAUCUAAGUUGUAAGCCAACAUGAUGAGCUAAUGUUGUUCAAUAUAUGACACAUUUUCUCUUUUGUAGGUUUUGGUCUGUGCACUCAAGUCCUUCUUUAGAUAGGUGCAGAACAGUAUUCACAAUACACAACAUAACCCCCUCCCCCCUCCACUCAAACACAGGUCAUUGUUUUAAUAUAAUUCUCUCUUCUUUUAAAGGUUUCUUGCUGUGUGACUAUAGUCAGUUUUGAACCUAAGCACUGAAGCAAGACGUGAAGCAGUUUUCCGUGCUCUCAUACUGUACCCGGGGGAGGAGGAGGAUGACCUUUUUGAAGAUUGCUGGGUAAUACAUGAUUUUAUUUGAACAGGGUACAGUGCAUUUGGUGCGACAGAUGUCACCAGCUUGUCAUUCAUGUGUCAUGGGUGCCAUUUAGCCAGUCUUGUUCCAAGUCUUUGGUGCCAUUUACUGGCCAUGGCAAUUCAUCUUGGUAUUGAAUAUGGACAUUACAAUGAAAUUGGAAUGUCUGUAAGAUGAGGAGAUGCAUUGUAUACCAGUAAUUUAACAUGGUAAACAUGCUUAUUUGAUAUUUGUUCAUGACUGUGUGCCGAUAAAGAAAGAUGUCAGCUAAUUCAAAUGAUUGAAACGGUUCUAUUUUUCUCGUUAAUUGCAUGUAGCAGGACAAUCGCAGCAAUGCAGCUGAGCAUACCCUCAAGAUCCUGGUGGUUCAUGGGGCUGAGGGAGAGGAUCCAGUAGAUGUCUCCGUCCUUGUAGAAGCACAGGAGAUACUGCCUGCAUGCGGUGACACCGCGAAAGCCUGAAUGCUGUUGAUGUGGGUGAUCUACGCCCUCAACCUGGCCUACACCACUCCACUGCGCUACACCUUUGAGGUAUUUCAAAAAAUUUUGCUAGGACCGAACGCAGUGAAGCUCUAAAUUCCACAAUCUGAGGGUGAAGAUGUUAUCAUGAAGCAACAUCACACACCCUCAGACAGUGACCCAAGCCCUCACCUGUUAUUUAUUUUUACCUGUUGUAACCUGUUGGCUGAUGUUCCUGUUUUCAACCUGUAGUUCAAAAUGUAUCUUCAAAAUACGGUUGCGCACAUUUUGGUGCAAUAGUGUUUUAAAAUUAACAAUAUUAAGAUUUUGAUUUAAUUUAAGAGUUAAAAAAAUCAUUUGACAGUAUAACACAUAAUUUUCUUAUACUGGGCUGAAGAUGUUUGUAUGGGGCUAGAUUGCUGCCAGAUGUUUAUUUUUUUGUGGGGUAUCUUGGAAAUAUGACAUGUAUUUGUGUCCUCUUUCAC